AACGAACGCUGGCGGCAUGCCUAACACAUGCAAGUCGAACGAGACCUUCGGGUCUAGUGGCGCACGGGUGCGUAACGCGUGGGAACCUGCCCUUAGGUUCGGAAUAACUCCCCGAAAGGGGUGCUAAUACCGGAUAAUGUCUUCGGACCAAAGAUUUAUCGCCUUUGGAUGGGCCCGCGUUGGAUUAGCUAGUUGGUAGGUUAAAAGCCUACCAAGGCGACGAUCCAUAGCUGGGCUGAGAGGAUGAUCAGCCACACUGGGACUGAGACACGGCCCAGACUCCUACGGGAGGCAGCAGUGGGGAAUAUUGGACAAUGGGCGAAAGGCUGAUCCAGCAAUGCCGCGUGAGUGAUGAAGGCCUUAGGGUUGUAAAGCUCUUUUACCCGGGAUGAUAAUGACAGUACCGGGAGAAUAAGCUCCGGCUAACUCCGUG
rnacentral:rRNA from 1 species